GGAGGUAUGGCUCAAGUGGUAGAGCACCAACUUAUCAAGUAUGAGGUCCUCAGUUCAAGCCCCAGUACUUCUG
rnacentral:tRNA from 1 species